CACGUAGGGGGCAAGCGUUGUCCGGAAUCACUGGGCGUAAAGGGCGCGUAGGCGGCUUUGUAAGUCGGGGGUGAAAGCCUGGUGGCUCAACCACAGAAUUGCCUUCGAUACUGCAUGGCUUGAGACCGGAAGAGGUAAGUGGAACUGCGAGUGUAGAGGUGAAAUUCGUAGAUAUUCGCAAGAACACCAGUGGCGAAGGCGGACUUACUGGUCCGGUUCUGGACGCUGAGGCGCAAAAGCGCGGGGAGCAAACGGG
rnacentral:rRNA from 1 species